GUAAAGGGGGAAAGCCAGNCUCGGCUGCGUCAAUAGAUGAGCCUGCGCCCCAUUAGCUAGUUGGUAAGGUAAAGGCUUACCAAGGCGACGAUGGGUAGCCGGCCUGAGAGGGUGACCGGCCACACUGGGACUGAGACACGGCCCAGACUCCUACGGGAGGCAGCAGCUAAGAAUCUUCCGCAAUGGACCGAAAGUCCUGACGGAGCGACGCCGCGUGGGUGAAGAAGGCCGAGAGGUUGUAAAGCCCUUUUAUAGGUGAGGAAUAAUUUUAGGAGGCAAUGCCUAAGAGAUGACGUUAGCCUAUGAAUAAGCUCCGGCCAAUUACGUGCCAGCAGCCGCGGUAACACGUAAGGAGCGAGCGUUGUUCGGAAUUAUCGGGCGUAAAGGGUGCGCAGGCGGAUUACUAAGCCUGGUGUGAAAUACCGGCAGCUUAACUGCGGAAACGCGCUGGGAACUG
rnacentral:rRNA from 1 species